AUUUUUAGACAAAUGCCAGAGAGAAUUUAUGCAAAUUCAGAAUGAGGCAGGUAAAUGCACAAGAUAAAUGGGGAAAUGUUUAAGUUUUAGUGAGAAGGCUCCGUGGGAGAAUCAGUGGGAGCUUGGAGAAGACAAUGGAACUUUGAGCUUAUUGUAGAUGCCAGGUUGAUUCAAGAAUAAUGUUUAAGAAUCUUGAAUGCAAGUAUCCCAUGCAUUAGAUGAAAAGGAAAAUCUAUUUCUUCAUGUACUGUAGUGUUUUGUAUAUGCAAACUGUAAAACCUUGGCUACAAGCUGAGGAGAUGGCUCAAUGAGUUCACAUAUUUGUAAAGAAUAAGGACCUAAGCUUGGAACACCAGCAUGCAUUUAAAAGGCAACUGUGUUGGUAGGAACUUAUAACGUUGGCACUUGUGGUCAGAGUGGGGCAGGGAAAUCCUAGAGAUUUUUUUAGCCAGAUGGUCUACACCAAAUUGUAAGUACUAUGUCUUUGGGUGAUAUUGUCUAUCAAGGAUAUUGUCUAUCAUGUGUUUACAUGACAUUGAAAGCUCUGGCUUCCACAUGUGAAUACACAGGUUUGCAACAGCUUAUGUAUAAACCUGUGAGCAUACCCCUAUGGAUAUGCACACAGAUUCACU
rnacentral:lncRNA from 1 species